rnacentral:lncRNA from 1 species
UAUAGGACAACGGGUCAAGAGUUACUUCGGGUUUCCUUUAUCCCAAGUAAAAAAGAAAUAAGUUUUGAUGAUCAGGGAAUUGAACUUGAUAGUUGAGUGGUUACGCUAUCCUAUUUUUAUGGUUGUCUCAAAAUUGUUUUUGAGCAUUUACAUCCGUUAUGCUGCCCAAUUUUGUCUUCAGAGCUCUAAUGCUUUUGCAUUACUCUCUAUUUUCAGAUACCUAGCCGUCCUUCUCGUCAGGUGGUUCGUCUGACUAGAUGCAUUGA